UACAGAGGCCCCGAGCAUUAUCCGGAAUCACUGGGCGUAAAGGGUGCGUAGGCGGCUAUAUUAGUCGGGUGUUAAAUCCCGGGGCUCAACCCCGGAAUCGCAUUCGAAACGGUAUGGCUAGGAGAAGUGAGAGGUGCAUGGAACUCAAGGUGUAGGGGUGAAAUCCGUUGAUAUCUUGGGGAACACCAAAUGCGAAGGCAAUGCACUGGCGCUCUCUCGACGCUGAGGCACGAAAGCGUGGGUAGCGAAUGGGAUUAGAAACCCUUAGUCC
rnacentral:rRNA from 1 species